GCCGGGGUGGCGGAAUUGGUAGACGCAGCGGAUUCAAAAUCCGCCGCUAGUGAUAGUGUGCGGGUUCGAGUCCCGCCCUCGGCACCA
rnacentral:tRNA from 2 species